GACUGUCACUCCCAGGUAGCUGAUACUCUAUAUUCUGGUCCAUUUAUAUAAAUAAAGAUGGAUAUAUAUUCAGUCCAUUUAGAUAAGUAUGCGUUUCAACCAAAAUCAUUACUCCUCUUCCAUUUUAGUGCCUAAUUUUUUGUUUGUAAAAGAUGGCCUCUUUUCUACUACACUAAAAUAAUGUAAAAUUACUAGAGAGUUGUUCAGGUAACAGUAAGUGGACUGAUAUUGUCAUUUAGUUAUCUUGGAUACUGGUAACUUUAAAUGUUAUAUUCAGAAACUUUGUUAAAAAGAGUAUCUCAAGCAAAAAGAUAACAAUAAAAAGAAAACUAUGCAAACUGGUGGGAGGAGGACCAAAGAUGCACAGGCUUCAAAUCAGAAUUUGAAAAAUCACUAAUUCCAUCCAAAUCCCUCAUUUUUCAGGUGGGGAAACUGCAGUCCAGAGGGUUUCUUGAACUGCCCAAGGACACAGCACUAUUUAGUGAUACAAGCUGAGACCAAAACUGAGGUCCCCCUGAUUCCUGGUUCAGAGUUCUUUCUAACAUACAAGGAACACACAAAUAAAAGUUUAUCUUAAUUAACCGUAUAAGACCUCCACAAUGUGUCUGUCAUGAACUUUGUUGUCUAUACCAAGCCACCAGUAAAGCACUAAGAAGUCCAGUUCUGGACUUCAAAUAUAUACUCUAACAUUUACCAAGGCACCUUGGGCAAGUUAUGUCACCUCUUUGCCUCAGACUCCUCAUCUCUAAAUGACAACUCAAAAUACUUCUGUUCUAGCUUACAUGGAAUAAUUGCAUAAAGCAUUUAGAACAGGGCCUCACACAUACAAAAUGCUUGUUUCAUAGGAAAAAUGAUAAGGAUAAGAAGUAAGUUCAUUACAGGUGUCCAUUACUAGUACUCUUCCCAAGACUGAGCCAAUAUGAAGAAAUUAAAAUACACAGGAUUCGGUAAAUGAACCAUUACAGCAUUUUAAAUAGCAAAAGCACAAUGUCAAUAUUUUUUAAAAUAAUUUAUAGUUGUAUAAUUUAUGAGGGCAAAGAGAGCCAGUAUCACUUGGUUGUUAGGAAUGACAUGUUUAGAUAAAGGAGAUGCUAUAGGGUUUAGUACAGUGGAUAGAACAGAGCUAAUGUCUAAGAAAAUGGUGGUUCUCCCUGAGCAGUAAGUAGUAUUGAGUUGCUUUGUGCAGAGGAUUUAAUGUUUCCUAUCCAUGAGGCACCAUUAUUAGGACUGAGAGGACUAUUUGAAAAAAUAGUUGUUAGUGAUGGUGUCCUCUUAUAGGCGAUUUAACAUACAACAGAUGUAAUUUUACUGAUUUAUUUAGGGUCAAUCUUUAAUGGAGGUAGACCAAAUGAAAUAAAACCAAGUAAAUGUAAAACUGUUUAUGAAGUAAAGCAACUCAAAAAUUCUAUUCUCGUCUGAUACUAGCAAUCCUGUCAGAAGCUGGGAUGGAGACACUAAUUUCAUUUUACAAUGAGGAAACCAAGGCUCAGAAAACUGAACUGAAAUCACAGAGAAAGGGGAAAAGCUAGGUUGUUGUAAUUGGUUUUCAGGUGUUCCUUCUACCAUAGCACCAUGCAUCUCAGAGCACUAACAGCUCUUCAAGACCUGCCCAACCUACUUAAGGUUAACAUUUACAGGCUAAUAUUUAUAUUGAAGAGAUCACAUGGGUUAUUUCAUUUCACCCUUAUGAGCCAAGACAUGAGUGAUAUUACUAAGCAUCAGUGUCUGACUCAAUUAUAUACCAAUUCAAUUAAUAUAACUUCAAUUAAUGCAUUUGACUGAGUUACUUCUCAUUGUUUAAGUAAACUAUCUGCAAAUUGCUAACAUUUUAAUACACAAAAAGAUUUCAGAGUGAUUUCACUAUGCAACUUCACCAGGCACUAUUUCAACACAAAUAAUCCAAUGUUCAUGUUUAACUGACAGGGCCUAACUUUCUUUUUGGCCCACUACAGAAAAAGGUACCCCUUCCCACCAAACAAGAGAACCAAAGCUCAAGCUAUCCAACAUUUCUCUGCAACACGAAUUUUAAAAAUAAAUCAGGGGGCUGGGAAUAUGGCCUAGUGGUCAAGUGCUUGCCUCAUAUACAUGAAGCC